UCUUUAAUGUUUAUUCAUUUCGUUCGUGUAUAUUUUAGAAAUUAAGAAAUGAAAACUGUAACUGUACCAGAGACAUAUAUACACAUAUAUAUGUCUCUGACUGUACUAAGUUCAAUUUUCGUAUCGUUUAUAUGCCUUACGGAAAACCGACCUUUUCCGGAAUCGACUUUUGUUUUAUCACCGGAAAUGAUUUUGAAAUUUGAAUUUCGAAACGAAGACAGGAUAUCAACAAAGAGAGCCAAGAAAAUUGUUUGUUACGCGAUAUAUACUCACUUGGAGCUAAAAGAAAAGCCACAAAGGACAAGUUCAAUAUGCAGGUUUACAAUUUGGAAGUGGCGCAGGUUCUUUGAAAUGUCUACAACCUUUCUGGAGAAUUUUUUUUUGAAAAGCAUGGCACAGCAAGAAAAAGAUAUAAGACACUACAAGACAUUCCAAGUGAUUUUGAAUAAGACAAUUGAUUGACUUUUUCAAUGUAUUCUUAAAUAAAUCAAAUAGUUGAUGUAAAAUGGUGUUUUGUUCUCAUCUGUUCAGCCAAUUAUCAAUGAUUAUUGACUUAAGAUGUAACCCUAUUAGAAGUGUAGCGUUUUAGUUAAGAAAGAGAAGUUGUAUUGAAAGAUCUGAAUUUGGGACACAAGUUUUAGUCAAUGUAACUUGAACUUAAAAAUGUGUAUAAUGUUUGCAUAAUGUCCAAUGGCAUAUAUGUCAUGCAUGUUCAGGUUGACAUAUGCAUGAUGUGUAUAAGAUAGGUAAUAAAAGUUAAGAGUGAAAAAAAACAAACAUUAUACCAUUGUGGUUGGAAUGUGGGCUUUCUUGCACUGUCUGUCGUCUGUCCACCUAUAUUUGUCGGAUUUUGUCCAACAAAUAUUUUCAUCAAGUGCUGUUUUUCCCAAAACUGCUGAUAAAGAUGAGUUCAUAUUUAAUGAGCUGCUUGAUAGUGAUGU